GUGAAUCAUCAAAUCUUUGAACGCAAACUGCACUCCCUGGUAUUCCGGGGAGUAUGCCUGUUUGAGGGUCGUUAGCACACAAAUCGAAGCGUCGCUCUUUUUUUUAAGGGUGAUCGCUUCGGAAUUGAGCCGUCUUUCAGAUGUAAUGCAUGUCAAAGUGGCUUAAGAUGCAGCAAUCCGGUACGA
rnacentral:misc_RNA from 1 species